UUCUAAUUAAACAGUCUCCCACUGAAGCUUCAAAGUGCCUUAAACUGAUGCAUCUUGAGAGAGACAAAGCUAAUUCUGGACUGCAUGGCUGUAACCAACUGGCAACCACCUGCUUCACAUUAACCAGGAAAAAGAUCAAGGUGUCAUGAGAAAUGGUAGAGAAGAUUUUUGCUCUUCUACCUCACUGUAACUGCUCUCAUUAUCUUCCAUACUGGUAGUCCUUUCAAAUCAACCAGGCUGAGAAAGAAAAGAACUCAUACUUUAUAGAUAUAUAAUCUCUAGGAACUCACAGUAGUGGCGACUAUCCCUUGAGAUGAUUUAAUAGCAUUAAUUACUUAAUGCAUGUGAAAGAACUGGAUACAAGCACAAACCUUUGCACCAGUCCCACAUUAUGAGUAUCCACUUCAAUAGAUCUCUUAUAGAGAAGCAAGGA